ACACGGAGCAGCAAUGCUGUGUAAGGCUUGAACCAGAUGUUAAGGAAUGAAGGCUUACCAGCACCUUGAUCAGGGCUGCAUGACUGCACCAUUGAAGCAUCCAUCUCAUGACCUGGCACACAUGAAAGAUGAUCAAAGCAACAGCUUUGGUUGGUUUAAAGCAAUUUUAUGGAAACUGCAUGCUGGACAAAGCAGCUGAAAAACAACAAGGAUU